rnacentral:rRNA from 1 species
GAUGAACGCUGGCGGCGUGCCUAAUACAUGCAAGUCGAGCGAACAGACGAGGAGCUUGCUCCUCUGACGUUAGCGGCGGACGGGUGAGUAACACGUGGAUACCCUACCUAUAAGACUGGGAUAACUUCGGGAAACCGGAGCUAAUACCGGAUAAUAUAUUGAACCGCAUGGUUCAAUAGUGAAAGACGGUUUUGCUGUCACUUAUAGAUGGAUCCGCGCCGCAUUAGCUAGUUGGUAAGGUAACGGCUUACCAAGGCGACGAUGCGUGGCCGACCUGAGAGGGUGGUCGGCCACACUGGAACUGAGACACGGUCCAGACUCCUACGGGAGGCAGCAGUAGGGAAUCGGCCGCAAUGGGCGAAAGCCUGACGGAGCAACGCCGCGUGAGUGAUGAAGGUCUUCGGAUCGUAAAACUCUGUUAUGAGGGAAGAACAAAUGUGUAAGUAACUAUGCACGUCUUGACGGUACCUAAUCAGAAAGCCACGGCUAACUACGUG